UUGAUUUGACAAAGAACACAACACAAGUAUUGUUGUGCUUUGGUGCUCAGAUACAAGCAGAGACUCCACAGUGAAAACAGUUUGUAUGCAGUGGCAAAGUAAAGACCUUCACUGUGCACUGCUGAUUUAUCUCUUUAGGAUAAGGGACUGCUUUAUGGAAAUGCAAGGAAGUAUCAGCUACCGGCAUCCACCUCCAGGCAUUCUUUGAGUUAUAGAUAAACAACAGCUGCAAAACUCUAGGUUACAUUACGAACAAUGAGCUUCACCACAACCAUUUUGUUUGCCCUGGCCUCUAACUAGGGUUGCCACCUUUUCUGGAAAAAAAUACCGGGCUUCCUAUUUAUUUAUCUUUUUUCUCUAUUAAUAACAUUGGGAUCAGCCAUCAUUUUUACCGGCCAGGCCAAUAAAAUAACGGCCAGCUGGUAACUCUAGCUCCAACACAUGCAGGUAACAGCACUGUUUGAAAUAGAGUAACUGAAUAAAUAGAGCUUCCAGAAUAUCAUCCUAAAACAGAGUAGCUAAGAGAAUGUGGAAAAGAAAGGUUUCUUCUUUGUACAGGAAAUGUACAAUAAAAGAGUUAGCUGGAGGCAGCCAGAGUUGAAAUUUCAAAACAAGCUUCCCAGCUGGAAAACAGUGCAGCUAAGGGCCUCAAGGUGUGGCAUCCAGGAACACUUAUUUUACCCCUUUUAUCUCUUUAGUUUAUAUUUUUAUUUGAUAAACAGUUCCCCUGAAGGAAGAACGUCUCAAGUAGUGGCUAAAUCAAUGUCAGAUGUCUUAUUAUUUGCUUUAAUAAUCCAUAUCCUUCAGAUGUUUCAGUUGAGACCAUAUGAGUCUUAAAUUUUGUGCAAGCUUCCCUAAUCCCCACCGUUUUCUAUACUCUGUGCUAUAUAAUAAGAAAACAAACUACAGUAUAAAGUUGUUGUUUGAUAGUCUUUCAGAUAUAAUUUAUGCAAUAGCACAGUAAAUGUCCUGGAAAUGACAGGACAAACAAGGCUUUAUAUGGCAAGCAGGGCUAUGGUGAAGCUUAGUUCACAUCUGAAAACACUAGAAUUGUUGUACUAGGCAGUGUACAGAUUUCUUGUACUCCAAGGGUACAAGAAUUUUAGUGAAUGCAGAGGAGCUGGAAAGGUCAGCAGCUGAUGACAACAUGCUAACAUGAAUCAAUGUUUCAUUCACUACUUUCUACAAAGAAAAGAGGCUAUUAGUCCGCUGAGACCAAGGGUACAGCAACAGAAACAGCUACCUGAUUGCUGAAGCAGCCAUAUACAGUUGAAAUUCCAUGACUGAGUCUCAGAACCAAAAUAUAAACAUAUGUAGGGAACAUGAGGAAUCCUUCCCAUUUGUCUGCCUGUGACAUCAUCCAGCCCAGUUGCAUGCUGGAUAGCGAUCAGAUGCCAAGCGGCUAGAAACUCAGAAGGAGAAAGGUGCCACUAGUGAAAUUGAUUCUGCUGCAGAACUGCGUGUGAUCUCCAGUGUGAUUUCCUCUGAGAGCACCCCGGUGAGUGAGCCACCCAAGGAAGGAUAUUGGCACGGAUACAAGUCUAGACAUGUCUUAAAGUGAAGACAUGUCUUAAAUAUUUACCUGCUACGAGGGAGCUGCUGCCAACUUCAAAAGGGAGAGGUACUUUUGGGGAAUAAGGUGGCACUACCUGGGAAAUAAUAGCUCUGGGGAAGGGAUAAUCAUUUGAACUGUGUGGAUUGGGACUGUGAUAUUUGAUAAUCAUUUGAACUGUGUGAUUGGGACUGUGAUAUUUACCAAGGACUGUGUAAAGCAACAGUUAAGCACCUAAUAGUGGUUUAGUUAGUGCCCCUCAUGUCCUCAGUGUCGGAGUGAAGUGCGUAUAAGUUGCCCCAGUGUUAAACUGUUUAUAUAAAGUAUAUAUUUGUUCAUUUGCAAACUGUGUGUUAUAUUAUUCAUAGUGGAACCCCUCUGAGGUGUUUUCCUCAGUGUUCACUAGGUGGAGGCACUGCCCUGUAAUUCCCAGUUCCCAGUACUUUUCAUAUGCAAAAGGGACUCAGGGCCCCUGGAUUUCCAAGGGUAAAUUGCUAUUUAAAGAGACAGUAACCAAAUUAGUGUUCUACAUAUUUCAAAAAUGAUCUUACAAUACUGCUGUCUACGAAAGAGUAAGGGUGCUGACUUGCAGGGAGGGGAAUCAUUGUGUGGGAAAUCUCCUGUCCUGUCGGCAAUAAGCAUCUGACAAUAACUGCCCCCUUACAUUAGGUGGAAUUGAUGCACAUAUAACACAUUGGAUGCAGCAAUCUUGGCAAUCGCUAAAAAUGGCUCAUUCUGAAUUUUCAAGUGAUUACCCAAGAUCUUGUGGUAUUUACACUUUUAGGCUAGGGCCAGAUGAUGUAGACAAUUAUGGACUGUCAGCAGGCAUAGAAUCCACUGCCUUGCUGUUCCCCUUGUCUUCUGAAAAAUGCAAAAUGUUGUGUUUCAGUGCCGAAAUCCGCCACGUCUGCCUGUACCAGAGCAGAAUCAAUGCUUCCGGGUGCAGGCAGAGCAGGAAUGGAGGAGCAGUGGAGGCCGUCUUAAUGUGAAGGCACAGAUAAGGGGUCAACAAGCCAAGAGAUUGCACAGACAGUAUGGUGGAAUGAAGUGAGAAGUAUACCACAGUGAGCAGGAAAGGAGCACCUGGUGAGGUGAGCACAGAAUAUGAGGAAAAGCGAGACUGAAGUAUUGUAUAUUGGAUAAGGUUUUGCCUGAAUUUAAUUCUCUGGCCUGAAACAUUUAAUCCAGCCCCCCACACACCUUAUCACUACCUCUACUCACAUUUCCCUCCUCACCUCACAGCUGCUCAGGUCUAGAUGAAGGUCCUGGAUGUGAGUGUUUGAACAAAGUCCUUGUAGCAGAGCCCUAAAAAACAGAAGAUGAUGGGGAGGGAUGCAGAGAGCCAUAAGAAAAAGUUUAUCAUCUUAAAUGUCCCUAAUUAACAUUAAUUUCAGUUUUAAUACUGUAUAACUGAGACUUAAAGCAAUUUAAAGAGACUGCAAAACCAUUUAUGUAUUAUUUACAGUAAAUACUAUUAUUUGAUGUAGAUAAAACAGGUAAUGUUUAUUAGCACAAUCUUUCAGUGAUUGGAUUGGACCUGUAUUGGGUAAUUGGGUACCUGAUGGUAACUAAGUUGCAUAAAUCCAUGUCAUUGGCAAAACAAUCCUAUAGGGUAUUUUAAUGUCUAAACGAAUUUUAGCAGCUUUAAGGCUUUAAGGCUCCUAACAAUUUUUCACCUUACAUAUCCAUCUGUUUCUCUAGAUAUAUUCUUAAUGACCCUUUUGUUCCACCAAUUAUCUUUAACUUGCUUACUCUCAUACAUAAGGCGUCAUUUAUUAACACAAGUUCAGUGCGCAAUGUGUAAUUCUGAAUGCAAAUUGCUAUGUUUUUAACUCACCAUGCAGCAUUUUUUCAUAUAAUGCAGUGGUGCAACUGCAUGCACGUUGCAUUUUCCAGUUUCAUGUGUGCCACAGUUGUGCCAUCUGUUAAAAUGAAUUGUACUUCCAAGUUGCUCUUAGCCCCCUAGUGGGUGUUGAGUCACUUCGGAGCAGAUAUUCAAAAUGGCAUUUGCAACAAAUUCAAUUGGCACAAGGGAAGCGUGACUAGCCUUGCAAGACAUGAGUACAUGUGCACACUUGGUGACAGAGAAAUGGGUAGGACAGCAGGCCUCAUGUUAUAACCGACCCCCCCCCCCCAAAUCUUUGGCCACCUCACAGUCUGGUUUAUGUUAGUUACAUCUCUGAUUAAAGUAAAGUGAAAAAAAACACACACCAUGAUUGUUAGAUUAAGUAAUUCAUAGCAACCAAUUAGAUUCAUUGAUACAGGUUUCCAGAUACUAUAUACAGUAUUAUUAUAAAAAUAAGUCAAACAUGGAGCAGGGAUCAUGGGGCUGAGCGCCCUCAGUGACCGCCUUUUUAGCCUGUCCCACUGCUCCCCUAUUGUGCAUAAAUGGCACUAACCCCGUCUCUUGCAUGCCUCAGACAAGACCGGGCAGUCAAAGUCUGAUGCACACUCGUGCCACACUGACGCCAUCCAAUGGAAAAAAAAGGGAAGGGGCGACACCUAUCCUUUUCCAAUGGCCCAUCUACCCGGCCCUUGACCUCUACCAUUCCUCAAGAAACACCUUGAUGUUCCCAAUGAACAAACCCAAAUCUUCCCCUGAUAAAUGCACUCCGACUUCCCUAUACAGCUGUGUCUGUCUACAUUUUAUAUUUUCAUGCCUUAUCACACCCACACUGGAGGAACACAUGAAUUUCUGCAUGGCCUUGUUGACCUUCUUUCUCGCCUUCUGUAUGCCCUGGGGGGACAUGGCUCCCCCCCAAUUGCUCCUUUGUAUGAUAUCUGACCAUGCUAUACACUUGACUCUUCUGCUCCGUAACAUAUCUGUUAAAUCGGCCCUCAUGGCCUCAAUAAGGGCUGGGGUCUUAUGUGACGUAAGGUCCCCCCCAUGUAUAUAAAUAACAAAUGUAUGGGAUUCUGGCUUGAUGCCUCAAAGAACAUACCACUUAGCUGUUCCCAUAAAACACAAGUUAGUCUGUGUUGCCUCAACUGUACAUCCCCUUAAGAACGCUGCCAGACCAGCACGCCCCCCCUUGCCUCCUACCCCAGCCCGCCCCUCUUUUUCCCACCACUGCUAGACCCUCCAUUGUUCUUACCUGGGGCUGGGGGGAGGCAAAGCUACAAGGCUAUACCUGGGGGAAAGGGGCCCCGCCUAACCCCAUGUCAGCCCUAAACGUGCUUCAUUCCUCCUAGUUGCUCCACUCACCAGAAGGGCUGAGUCGGCAACUUAUUUGCCCGAGUACCGCCCGAGACCUUAACAGAAAAGCGAUUCUUCAAGUGUAUGGCCAGCUUAAAGGCAGAUGCACACCCGGACAGUGUCGGACUGGCCCACCGGGAUACCAGGAAAACUCGGUGGGCCCAGGUGUCAGUGGGCUCUUUUGCUUCUAACCAUUUAG